GUGGGGAAUAUUGGACAAUGGGCGCAAGCCUGAUCCAGCCAUGCCGCGUGAGUGAUGAAGGCCUUAGGGUUGUAAAGCUCUUUCAGUGGGGACGAUAAUGACGGUACCCACAGAAGAAGCCCCGGCUAACUUCGUGCCAGCAGCCGCGGUAACACGAAGGGGGCUAGCGUUGUUCGGAUUUACUGGGCGUAAAGCGCACGUAGGCGGAUCGUUAAGUCGGGGGUGAAAUCCUGGAGCUCAACUCCAGAACUGCCUUCGAUACUGGCGAUCUUGAGUCCGGAAGAGGUGAGUGGAACUCCUAGUGUAGAGGUGGAAUUCGUAGAUAUUAGGAAGAACACCAGUGGCGAAGGCGGCUCACUGGUCCGGUACUGACGCUGAGGUGCGAAAGCGUGGGGAGCAAACAGGAUUAGAUACCCUUGUAGUCC
rnacentral:rRNA from 1 species